rnacentral:misc_RNA from 1 species
GAUGAAGAACGUAGCGAAAUGCGAUACUUGGUGUGAAUUGCAGAAUCCCGUGAACCAUCGAGUCUUUGAACGCAAGUUGCGCCCGAAGCCAUCAGGUUGAGGGCACGUCUGCCUGGGCGUCACAUAUCGUUGCCCAAUGCCUAUUGCAGUGCAAUAGGAAUUUCUAGGGCGAAUGAUGGCUUCCCGUGAGCGUUGUUGCCUCGCGGGUGGUUGAAAAUCGAGUCCUUGGUAGGGUGUGCCAUGGUAGAUGGUGGUCGAGUUAGAACGAUACCGAUCAUGUGCAUGCUCCCCAAAAUAUGGCCUCUAUGACCCACACGCGUCUUUUGACGCUCAUGACGAGACCUCAGGUCAGGCGGGGCUACCCGCUGAAUUUAAGCAUAUCAAUAAGCGGAGGA